rnacentral:misc_RNA from 1 species
GAUGAAGAACGUAGCGAAAUGCGAUAAGUAAUGUGAAUUGCAGAAUUCAGUGAAUCAUCGAAUCUUUGAACGCACAUUGCGCCACCUGGUAUUCCGGGGGGCAUGCCUGUUCGAGCGUCAUUUCACCACUCAAGCCUCGCUUGGUAUUGGGCAACGCGGUCCGCCGCGUGCCUCAAAUCGACCGGCUGGGUCUUCUGUCCCCUAAGCGUUGUGGAAACUUUCGCUAAAGGGUGUUCGGGAGGCUACGCCGUAAAACAACCCCAUUUCUAAGGUUGACCUCGGAUCAGGUAGGGAUACCCGCUGAACUUAAGCAUAUCAAUAAGCGGAGGA